CCUGAUUGCACCACUGCACUCCAGCCUGGGUAACAGAGUGAGACCUGGUCUCAAAUAUAUAUACUUUUUUCUGUGCUCUGAUGAUACUAGUAACUUCAGGGCAUGUGUUUGGCCUGUCUCUGGCAUGGUUCUGAUGGAUUUGUGGUGAGUGCCCUGCAUGCUCUUGUCCAUAUCCUCCCAGCGUAAGAAGGAUGGGUGUCUAAUGAGGCUGGCAGUGGCAAUCCAAUAUUCUGACUGUGGAACUGGACAGGUCUGAGAGUCUCACAGGUGGUCCCAUCCGGGCUGCACUCUGUGGGCUCAUCAGCCAUUUUUGUGCUUGUUUACAUUUCAUAUCACAGAUGCCCAAGACAGUGGUGAAGAAUUUUUUUCCUUUCCAACUUUUUAGGAGGUUCCUGUGCUGAUUUGUCACAUGGGUAAAAUGCGUGUUGCGGGGGUCUGGUGUGCAGAUUCUUCGGUCACCCAGGUGCAGAGAAUGAGGAUCAGAAAUGUUGAAGAGUUUGCCCAGAGAUCCAGCUAGCAAAUAGCCAGCUUCAGGGCUGAUAGGACCGUCAUUGUCCCUGACCAUGACCCGUCACAUGGCCAGCUCCAGAUGGAUUGGAAGGUCUGCGGGAACUAGCUUUGGCCUAGGCCAAGAUCAUCCAACCAGACCUUCUCCUGCUUCCUAUUUAGGAGAACACAGACCCCAGGUGUCCCACUGCAGAGUCCCAGUGUAUGAAGGUCAACCCAGUGUGAGACCUCCAGGCGCUCUUCGAAAGCAAAGAACUUUCUCCAGCUGGAGUCAAAGAGAGACAGCAGAAGAAGAAGUAAGAGAGAACUUCUAAGCAGGAGAAGGACUCAAUCUGCCAUUGCUUGAGGGGCCACUCGGAAAGCAUAAGGAAUGCAGGCGGCUCCAGGUACAAAGAUUGGCCCCUGGUUGAUGCCCAGCAAGGAAUCAGGGCCUCCCACUGAUUCAUUUGGCCAACAAUGUGAAUAUACCUGUAAGCGGAUUCUUCUCCAGGGCCUCCAGAUAAGAGCCCAUCAUGGCUGACAUCUUGAUUUCAGCCUCUUAAGACCCUAAUCAGAGAACCUAGUCCUGCUAUGUCAGACUUCCCACCUGAGGAGCUGGGAGAUAACACAUGGGUACUAGGGUAAGCCACAAAGAAAACUAAUACAUGGAACAAGCCUGACUCUUCUUCCAUAAGGUGACCUGUUAGCAUCUACUCAAACUUACCUUUCUUCGUCCCAGACAAAGCACUUUACCCCAUCAGACUGUUCCCCUGCAUUCUCCCUCCCCGACACAUGAGGCUUUGCACUUUCUUACCACUGACAUUUCGCCGGCCAGGACUGCAGAGUCCUUUCUCCCAGGCCUCUCUGCCUUUCUCUGUCACCCACUCCAUCCCUGCCUUCCACAAACCAGUGAACAGGCCACUGGCCUCCUAGAACGUGAUUAAAUCCUGCCCUACAGAGCACUCACUGCUGCUCUUUUCAGAGGUUAAAACUCCUGAAAGAUGAAAACCUCAUCUUAUGCCUUCCUCGUGGCGCUGUAAUGCCUAUCAUUACACAGAUUAAACCUUGACGGAUAUUUGCUCAGAGAAUGACUGAUGCAGCCCAACAAGCCCAACAGUGCUGGGCACUGAAGUGUGCAGCCCCUGGGUAGGAGACGGUCACACAGGGGAAGGACAAUGUCUAGUGCUCUUAAUUAAAAUAACCCCUUACAUUUGUACUGGGAUUUCCAGUUUUCAAAGAAUUUCCAAAUAUGUUAUCUCAUGUCAUUUUUUACUACCUAAUCUUUUUUUUUCCACCAAAAACCCAUGAGAUAAACAAGGCAAGUUUUUAAAAAAUCCCAGUUUUUGUUUG
rnacentral:lncRNA from 1 species